rnacentral:rRNA from 1 species
CAGAUUGAACGCUGGCGGCAGGCCUAACACAUGCAAGUCGAACGGUAACAGAAAGCAGCUUGCUGCUUUGCUGACGAGUGGCGGAUGGGUGAGUAAUGUCUGGGAAACUGCCUGAUGGAGGGGGAUAACUACUGGAAACGGUAGCUAAUACCGCAUAACGUCGCAAGACCAAAGAGGGGGACCUUCGGGCCUCUUGCCAUCGGAUGUGCCCAGAUGGGAUUAGCUUGUUGGUGGGGUAACGGCUCACCAAGGCGACGAUCUCUAGCUGGUCUGAGAGGAUGACCAGCCACACUGGAACUGAGACACGGUCCAGACUCCUACGGGAGGCAGCAGUGGGGAAUAUUGCACAAUGGGCGCAAGCCUGAUGCAGCCAUGCCGCGUGUAUGAAGAAGGCCUUCGGGUUGUAAAGUACUUUCAGCGGGGAGGAAGGGAGUAAAGUUAAUACCUUUGCUCAUUGACGUUACCCGCAGAAGAAGCACCGGCUAACUCCGUGCCAGCAGCCGCGGU